rnacentral:rRNA from 1 species
GACGAACGCUGGCGGCGUGCUUAACACAUGCAAGUCGGACGAUGAAGCCCUUCGGGGUGGAUUAGUGGCGAACGGGUGAGUAACACGUGGGCAAUCUGCCCUGCACUCUGGGACAAGCCCUGGAAACGGGGUCUAAUACCGGAUACGAGCCUCCUGGGCAUCUGGGAGGUUGGAAAGCUCCGGCGGUGCAGGAUGAGCCCGCGGCCUAUCAGCUUGUUGGUGAGGUAACGGCUCACCAAGGCGACGACGGGUAGCCGGCCUGAGAGGGCGACCGGCCACACUGGGACUGAGACGCGGCCCAGACUCCUACGGGAGGCAGCAGUGGGGAAUAUUGCACAAUGGGCGAAAGCCUGAUGCAGCGACGCCGCGUGAGGGAUGACGGCCUUCGGGUUGUAAACCUCUUUCAGCAGGGAAGAAGCGAGAGUGACGGUACCUGCAGAAGAAGCGCCGGCUAACUACGUGCCAGCAGCCGCGGUAAUACGUAGGGCGCAAGCGUUGUCCGGAAUUAUUGGGCGUAAAGAGCUCGUAGGCGGCUUGUCGCGUCGAUUGUGAAGCCCGGGGCUUAACUCCGGGUCUGCAGUCGAUACGGGCAGGCUAGAGUGUGGUAGGGGAGAUCGGAAUUCCUGGUGUAGCGGUGAAAUGCGCAGAUAUCAGGAGGAACACCGGUGGCGAAGGCGGAUCUCUGGGCCAUUACUGACGCUGAGGAGCGAAAGCGUGGGGAGCGAACAGGAUUAGAUACCCUGGUAGUCCACGCCGUAAACGGUGGGCACUAGGUGUUGGCGACAUUCCACGUCGUCGGUGCCGCAGCUAACGCAUUAAGUGCCCCGCCUGGGGAGUACGGCCGCAAGGCUAAAACUCAAAGGAAUUGACGGGGGCCCGCACAAGCGGCGGAGCAUGUGGCUUAAUUCGACGCAACGCGAAGAACCUUACCAAGGCUUGACAUACACCGGAAACAUCCAGAGAUGGGUGCCCCCUUGUGGUCGGUGUACAGGUGGUGCAUGGCUGUCGUCAGCUCGUGUCGUGAGAUGUUGGGUUAAGUCCCGCAACGAGCGCAACCCUUGUCCCGUGUUGCCAGCAGGCCCUUGUGGUGCUGGGGACUCACGGGAGACCGCCGGGGUCAACCCGGAGGAAGGUGGGGACGACGUCAAGUCAUCAUGCCCCUUAUGUCUUGGGCCGCACACGUGCUACAAUGGCCGGUACAAUGAGCUGCGAUACCGUGAGGUGGAGCGAAUCUCAAAAAGCCGGUCUCAGUUCGGAUUGGGGUCUGCAACUCGACCCCAUGAAGUCGGAGUCGCUAGUAAUCGCAGAUCAGCAUUGCUGCGGUGAAUACGUUCCCGGGCCU